GUCAUAUUCCACUUGCCAGGAUGUUUUGGUUGUUUUGACAGUUUAUCACAAUCUCUUUGUACCUUCAUUCCAACCCAGAUUGUCCAGUUAGUGAGUGUUUAAUUAAUAUAUGGGAAGAUUUUCAAGUGAGAUUACAUGAACACAAAUUACCCUUUUAUUAUUUGUACUAUAAUAUAUAACAACAGCAAGUUCUUGUUUUUUAUUUAUUUAUUUAGCUUUGCCAACUAGGGCAGGGUCACCACAACAGCAUAUGCCAAUUACUGUGGGCCCUUUUUACCUAACCCACCCUGUCAACUUUCCCUGUGGGAGGAAACCGGAGUACCCGGGGAAAACCCACGGCGUUCGGCAGAGCGUUGACUUUACUCUUUUCACAUGGGGACUGGGUUCGAGUCGCACUGAGAAGGUACUUAGUGAGAUUCGAACCUGCAGCCUCAGAGGUGAAAGGCAAG
rnacentral:lncRNA from 1 species